rnacentral:tRNA from 1 species
ACCACCAUAGCUCAGUUGGUAGAGCAUGGUGUUUGCAACGCCAGGGUUGUGGGUUCGAUUCCCACGGGGGGCC